UACGAAGGGUGCAAGCGUUGUUCGGAUUUAUUGGGCGUAAAGCGCGCGCAGGCGGACAGAAAAGUCAGAUGUGAAAUCUCGGGGCUCAACCCCGAAACUGCGUCUGAAACUCUUUGUCUUGAGUGAUAUAGGGGGAAGGGGAAUUUCACGUGUAGGGGUAAAAUCCGUAGAGAUGUGAAGGAACACCUGGGGCGAAGGCGCCUUCCUGGAUAUUUACUGACGCUGAGGCGCGAAAGCGUGGGGAGCAAACAGG
rnacentral:rRNA from 1 species